AUUUACUUCACAGCACUGAACUACACCAGUGUGUCCUACUCCCCAUAAACCCUGAGGAUCCCUGGCUACACCAGCACUUUAAUCCACACCCAACAUUAACACACAGUGCACACUCUAUAGAGCUCGUAAGUCCGCCCCUUGCGGCGGGACCUCGUGAGAUCCUGUUGUAUUUUAACACGGUAGCUGGCAACCCUCUUUAUAGGGAGCGACUAGAGGGACGAGGCUGGAAGCAAACCUGAGCCUGGAUCUUAACCUUCUUUCUAAACCUAAUGCCGCAAUUUAACCGCAAAUAAAGUGAGGCCUAAAGUAACUUGCCUCUCUUACCUAAACUUGCUUGCCUAAACUCGCUUGUCUAAACUCGCUUGCAUAAAACCUAAACUCGCUUGCAUAAAACCUGAACUUGCUUGGCUAAACUCGCGUCGCUUGCCUAAUACCUGAACUUACUUGCCUAAACUCGCUUGCCUAAUACCUGAACUCGCUUGCCUAAUGCCUGAACUCGCUUGC
ensembl:lncRNA